rnacentral:rRNA from 1 species
CCUACGGGAGGCAGCAGUAGGGAAUCUUCCGCAAUGGACGAAAGUCUGACGGAGCAACGCCGCGUGAACGAUGAAGGCCUUCGGGUCGUAAAGUUCUGUUGUUAGGGAAGAACAAGUGUUAGUUGAAUAAGCUGGCACCUUGACGGUACCUAACCAGAAAGCCACGGCUAACUACGUGCCAGCAGCCGCGGUAAUACGUAGGUGGCAAGCGUUGUCCGGAAUUAUUGGGCGUAAAGCGCGCGCAGGCGGUUUCUUAAGUCUGAUGUGAAAGCCCCCGGCUCAACCGGGGAGGGUCAUUGGAAACUGGGAAACUUGAGUGCAGAAGAGGAAAGUGGAAUUCCAAGUGUAGCGGUGAAAUGCGUAGAGAUUUGGAGGAACACCAGUGGCGAAGGCGACUUUCUGGUCUGUAACUGACGCUGAGGCGCGAAAGCGUGGGGAGCAAACAGGAUUAGAUACCCUGGUAGUUCACGCUGUAAACGAUGAGUGCUAAGUGUUAGAGGGUUUCCGCCUUUAGUGCUGAAGUUAACGCAUUAAGCACUCCGCCUGGGGAGUACGGUCGCAAGACUGAAACUUAANAGAAUUGAG